rnacentral:tRNA from 1 species
AGUGGCCUGGUGGUGAAAGCAUCCGCCUGGGCAUUCGGGGGAUGCGGGUUCAACUCCC